GUAAAGUAGAAGUGGCUGGAAUAAGUAGUGUAGCGGUGAAAUGCAUAGAUAUUACUUAGAACACCAAUUGCGAAGGCAGGUCACUAUGUUUUAACUGACGCUGAUGGACGAAAGCGUGGGGAGCGAACAGGAUUAGAUACCCUGGUAGUCCACGCCGUAAACGAUGCUAACUCGUUUUUGGGUCUUCGGAUUCAGAGACUAAGCGAAAGUGAUAAGUUAGCCACCUGGGGAGUACGUUCGCAAGAAUGAAACUCAAAGGAAUUGACGGGGGCCCGCACAAGCGGUGGAUUAUGUGGUUUAAUUCGAUGAUACGCGAGGAACCUUACCAAGGCUUAAAUGGGAAUUGACAGGUUUAGAAAUAGACUUUUCUUCGGACAAUUUUCAAGGUGCUGCAUGGUUGUCGUCAGCUCGUGCCGUGAGGUGUUAGGUUAAGUCCUGCAACGAGCGCAACCCCUGUCACUAGUUGCCAUCAUUCAGUUGGGGACUCUAGUGAGACUGCCUACGCAAGUAGAGAGGAAGGUGGGGAUGACGUCAAAUCAUCACGGCCCUUACGCCUUGGGCCACACACGUAAUACAAUGGCCGGU
rnacentral:rRNA from 1 species